rnacentral:misc_RNA from 1 species
UCUCCGUUGGUGAACCAGCGGAGGGAUCAUUACAGAGUUGCAAAACUCCCAAACCAUUGUGAACGUUACCUAUCCCGUUGCUUCGGCGGGCGGCCCGGGCCCCGCGCCCGGCGCCCCCCGGCCCCCCGUGGGCGCCCGCCGGAGGUAAACCAAACCCUUGAAUUGCAUGGCCUCUCUGAGUCUUCUGUACUGAAUAAGUCAAACCUUUCAACAACGGAUCUCUUGGUUCUG